AACGUAGGAGACAAACGUUAUCCGGAGUUACUGGGCGUAAAGGGCGUGUAGGUGGUAUCGUAAGCCUGGCGUGAAAUUUCUCGGCUUAACCGAGGCAGGUCGUCGGAUACUGCGAGGCUAGAGGACGGUAGAGGCGUGUGGAAUUCCGGGUGUAGUGGUGAAAUGCGUAGAGAUCCGGAGGAACACCAGUGGCGAAGGCGACACGCUGGGCCGUACCUGACACUGAUGCGCGACAGCAUGGGGAGCAAACAGG
rnacentral:rRNA from 1 species